UAGAGUGUAUGAUGACGGAGGCUUUAUCUGU
rnacentral:piRNA from 1 species